AUUGAACGCUGGCGGCAGGCCUAACACAUGCAAGUCGAGCGGAUGAAGGGAGCUUGCUCCUGGAUUCAGCGGCGGACGGGUGAGUAAUGCCUAGGAAUCUGCCUGGUAGUGGGGGAUAACGUCCGGAAACGGGCGCUAACACCGCAUACGUCCUGAGGGAGAAAGUGGGGGAUCUUCGGACCUCACGCUAUCAGAUGAGCCUAGGUCGGAUUAGCUAGUUGGUGGGGUAAAGGCCUACCAAGGCGACGAUCCGUAACUGGUCUGAGAGGAUGAUCAGUCACACUGGAACUGAGACACGGUCCAGACUCCUACGAGGGGCAGCAGUGGGGAAUAUUGGACUAUGGGCGAAAGCCUGAUCCAGCCAUGCCGCGUGUGUGAAGAAGGUCUUCGGAUUGUAAAGCACUUUAAGUUGGGAGGAAGGGCAGUAAGUUAAUACCUUGCUGUUGUGACGUUACCAACAGAAUAAGCACCGGCUAACUUCG
rnacentral:rRNA from 1 species